ensembl:lncRNA
CUCUUGAAGUCUCUUUCCUCAUUUGUCUUCCACACUGAGGAGCCCAGCAGCUCAAUCUUUACUCUGAACCUUUAGAACCUCUUAAUGUUCUGACUCGGUUCUGAACACUUACUUUGGGUGUUGGUGAAACCCUUCCUUCAACGGAUCUCACUUUCCUUGCUUUUUUGCUUUCAUAUCUUCAAUACUACAUGGGGCAGCAGACGUUUUGCCCACGGAGAAACUAAGAUUUUCAUACAACACAGGACAGCACACCUUUCACCACAGAGAAGCUAAGGUCUCCAGUCUACUAUGGAUGAGGAGAGAGAGGAGGGGGUCCUACCUCUAAGACCACUCUGUCUGGGGAACAUGGCUACUGGAGCAAAGCUAAGAG